CACUGAGCAGGUCGAGUUGUUUCUUAGCUUCCCAAAGAGCUGGAAGCAAGAUGCUGUGGGGCCCAACUCUCCCUUUGGAAAGAAGCCUGCACGUUGUGCCUUUCAGCUCUAGGGCAAAGUAGCACACCCAGAGCAGAAGUCCUACUUCAGCCAGAUCAGGCCUGCAAAGAAACUGCGUUUCACAGGGCUUUGGAAGAGAUGUUCCCGGUAGGCUGUAAGAGCACUGUGCAGAGCGAGUUGUUUCUUAGCUUCCCAAAGAGCUGGAAGCAAGAUGCUGUGGGGCCCAACUCGCCCUUUGGAAAGAAGCCUGCACGUUGUGCCUUUCAGCUCUAGGGCAAUGUAGCACACCCAGAGCAGAAGUCCUACUUCAGCCAGAUCAGGCCUGCAAAGAAACUGCGUUUCACAGGCCUUUGGAAGAGAUGUUCCCGGUAGGCUGUAAGAGCACUGAGCAGAGCGAGUUGUUUCUUAGCUUCCCAAAGAGCUGGAAGCAAGAUGCUGUGGGGCCCAACACGCCCUUUGGAAAGAAGCCUGCACGGUGUUCCUUUCAGCUCUAGGGCAAUGUAGCACUCCCAGAGCAGAAGUCCUACUUCAGCCAGAUCAGGCCUGCAAAGAAACUGCGUUUCACAGGCCUUUGAUAGAGAUGUUCCCGGUAGGCUGUAAGAGCACUGUGCAGAGCGAGUUGUUUCUUAGCUUCCCAAAGAGCUGGAAGCAAGAUGCUGUGGGGCCCAACUCGCCCUUUGGAAAGAAGCCUGCACGGUGUGCCUUUCAGCUCUAGGGCAAAGUAGCACACCCAGAGCAGAAGUCCUACUUUAGCCAGAUGAGGCCUGCAAAGAGACUGCGUUUCACAGGCAUUUGGAAGUGAUGUUCCCGGUAGGCUGUAAGAGCACUGUGCAGAGCGAGUUGUUUCUUAGCUUCCCAAAGAGCUGGAAGCAAGAUGCUGUGGGGCCCAACUCGCCCUUUGGAAAGAAGCCUGCACGUUGUGCCUUUCAGCUCUAGGGCAAAGUAGCACACCCAGAGCAGAAGUCCUACUUCAGCCAGAUCAGGCCUGCAAAGAAACUGCGUUUCACAGGCCUUUGGAAGAGAUGUUCCCGGUAGGCUGUAAGAGCACUGUGCAGAGCGAGUUGUUUCUUAGCUUCCCAAAGAGCUGGAAGCAAGAUGCUGUGGGGCCCAACUCGCCCUUUGGAAAGAAGCCUGCACGUUGUGCCUUUCAGCUCUAGGGCAAUGUAGCACACCCAGAGCAGAAGUCCUACUUCAGCCAGAUCAGGCCUGCAAAGAAACUGCGUUUCACAGGCCUUUGGAAGAGAUGUUCCCGGUAGGCUGUAAGAGCACUGUGCAGAGCGAGUUGUUUCUUAGCUUCCCAAAGAGCUGGAAGCAAGAUGCUGUGGGGCCCAACUCGCCCUUUGGAAAGAAGCCUGCACGGUGUGCCUUUCAGCUCUAGGGCAAAGUAGCACACCCAGAGCAGAAGUCCUACUUCAGCCAGAUCAGGCCUGCAAAGAAACUGCGUUUCACAGGCCUUUGGAAGAGAUGUUCCCGGUAGGCUGUAAGAGCACUGUGCAGAGCGAGUUGUUUCUUAGCUUCCCAAAGAGCUGGAAGCAAGAUGCUGUGGGGCCCAACUCGCCCUUUGGAAAGAAGCCUGCACGGUGUUCCUUUCAGCUCUAGGGCAGUGUAGCACUCCCAGAGCAGAAGUCCUACUUCAGCCAGAUCAGGCCUGCAAAGAAACUGCGUUUCACAGGCCUUUGGGAGAGAUGUUCCCGGUAGGCUGUAAGAGCACUGUGCAGAGCGAGUUGUUUCUUAGCUUCCCAAAGAGCUGGAAGCAAGAUGCUGUGGGGCCCAACUCGCCCUUUUUAAAGAAGCCUGCACGGUGUUCCUUUCAGCUCUAGGGCCGUGUAGCACUCCCAGAGCAGAAGUCCUACUUCAGCCAGAUCAGGCCUGCAAAGAAACUGCGUUUCACAGGCCUUUGGAAGAGAUGUUCCCGGUAGGCUGUAAGAGCACUGUGCAGAGCGAGUUGUUUCUUAGCUUCCCAAAGAGCUGGAAGCAAGAUGCUGUGGGGCCCAACUCGCCCUUUGGAAAGAAGCCUGCACGUUGUGCCUUUCAGCUCUAGGGCAAAGUAGCACACCCAGAGCAGAAGUCCUACUUCAGCCAGAUCAGGCCUGCAAAGAAACUGCGUUUCACAGGCCUUUGGAAGAGAAGUUCCCGGUAGGCUGUAAGAGCACUGAGCAGAGCGAGUUGUUUCUUAGCUUCCCAAAGAGCUGGAAGCAAGAUGCUGUGGGGCCCAACUCGCCCUUUGGAAAGAAGCCUGCACAUUGUUCCUUUCAGCUCUAGGGCAAUGUAGCACACCCAGAGCAGAAGUCCUACUUCAGGCAGAUCAGGCCUGCAAAGAAACUGCGUUUCACAGGCCUUUGGAAGAGAUGUUCCCACUAGGCUGUAAGAGCACUGAGCAGAGCGAGUUGUUUCUUAGCUUCCCAAAGAGCUGGAAGCAAGAUGCUGUGGGGCACAACUCGCCCUUUGGAAAGAAGCCUGCACGGUGUUCCUUUCAGCUCUAGGGCAAUGUAGCACUCCCAGAGCAGAAGUCCUACUUCAGCCAGAUCAGGCCUGCAAAGAAACUUCGUUUCACAGGCCUUUGGAAGAGAUGUUCCCGGUAGGCUGUAAGAGCACUGUGCAGAGCGAGUUGUUUCUUAGCUUCCCAAAGAGCUGGAGGAAGAUGCUGUGGGGCCCAAAUCGCCCUUUGGAAAGAAGCCUGCAUGGUGUGCCUUUCAGCUCUAGGGCAAUGUAGCACACCCAGAGCAGAAGUCCUACUUCAGCCAGAUCAGGCCUGCAAAGAAACUGCGUUUCACUGGCCUUUGGAAGAGAUGUUCCCACUAGGCUGUAAGAGCACUGUGCAGAGCGUGUUCUUUCUUAGCUUCCCAAAGAGCUGGAAGCAAGAUGCUGUGGGGCCCAACUCGCCCUUUGGAAAGAAGCCUGCACGGUGUGCCUUUCAGCUCUAGGGCAAAGUAGCACACCCAGAGCAGAAGUCCUACUUCAGCCAGAUCAGGCCUGCAAAGAAACUGCGUUUCACAGGCCUUUGGAAGAGGUGUUCCCGGUAGGCUGUAAGAGCACUGAGCAGAGCGAGUUGUUUCUUAGCUUCCCAAAGAGCUGGAAGCAAGAUGCUGUGGGGCCCAACUCGCCCUUUGGAAAGAAGCCUGCACGUUGUGCCUUUCAGCUCUAGGGCAAAGUAGCACACCCAGAGCAGAAGUCCUACUUCAGCCUGAUCAGGCCUGCAAAGAAACUGCG
rnacentral:lncRNA from 1 species